rnacentral:lncRNA from 10 species
CUCUCCCGCCUCAGCCCUCGGUCUAGUCUGGCCACCUUCCCAGUCUGGUGGGUGCAGGUGGGGAGAAGCCUGGGUCUGGGGGCAACAAGCGCGGGUAAGACCUGUAGGGGGCCAGCUAGGGACGCCAGCGGGGGCCGGGUGGUCGGGCGUGGCGGCCGCGGCGAAGCUGGGGGACUUGAACAGCCUGUCUCGUCUUGGUCCUGACCUCCAGGUGGCGCCGCGGUGCGCGGACCGGCGUUAAGGUCGCGUCGCCCUUGGCCUCUGGCUGGGGAAGCCCCUACGGCCUAAUGGGGGUGGUGGAGGAACUGCUAGAGGGGCUCUAGGCCAUAGCCGGGAACAGAGAGACCUCCCUAUGUGAGCCCCCGGAGACCCUGACCGCGGGCUCUGCCGCUCCUCCCAGCACCCCUACGACAUUAGCCGAUGGGGGAGCCGACAUUAGCGGAUGGAUUCUUAAACACUAAAGGGUCUCCAGAGCAUAAAAUGGGCACUGGUGACACUGCUUCCACGGGACGGUUAGUUUCUAGUGAAAACAGCUUCUCCACUGCGCAUGAUGGCUCAUGUCUGUAAUCCUGACAUUUCGGGAGGCCAAGGUAGGGAGAACUGCUUGAGCCCAGGAGUUCAAGACCAGCCUGGGCAAUAUAGUGAGACCCCAUCUGUCGCUUUUUUUUUUUUUUUUGAGACGGAGUCUUGCUCUGUCGCCCAGGAUGGAAUGCGGUGGCGCGAUCUCGGCUCAUUGCAACCUCCACCUCCCAGGUUCAAGCGAUUGUCGUGCCUCAGCCUCCCGAGUAGCUGAGAUUACAGGCAUGUGCCACCACGCCCAGCUCAUUUUUUUGUAUUUUUAGUAGAGAGAUGGGGUUUCACCAUGUUGGCCAGGC